GGGCCGGGCCGGCGUCGAAGUCUCCGCACGAUCCGACGCACUUCCUCCCGCCCCAAGGACGCCGCAGCCGGUUGGGUCGCUGCGCGAGUCGGCCAUAAGGACGGGCACCGGAAGGUGGCCAGUGGCGUCCCCCCGUGUUCGUCGCUGGUCGUUAUCCAGCCCGCCCGUGGCGCGACACCCGACCGAGGUCGAAGGUCCCGGUUAGGACCUCGCCGUCCCCUCCCCCGUGGUCGAGCAGGAGCGCCAGCAAGCGAUUGUCCGCGCGAUCGUCUCCACUCUCCGAGUGGGCGGUCGUCGGAUGACGCCGUUGGCGAGGACGCUUCCUGCGCGGGGUUUUUCCGGCGGCUCGCGGCGAGUAGGUCGGUCACCCACCCGACCCGUCUUGAAACACGGACCAAGGAGUCUAACAUGUGCGCGAGUCACGGGGUCUUGCUUAGGCCCAGAGGCGCAAUGAAAGUGAAGGCCGGCCUCGAUGCCGGCCGAGUUGGGAUUCUCC
rnacentral:rRNA from 1 species